rnacentral:lncRNA from 1 species
GCACACUGCAGGUUGGCGACCGCGUCCUCUCUGUGAGUGGGGAUGGGGCCCCGCCCCACCCACCCAUCCCCCCUGCCCCGCCCCGCGCCCUCUGUCCCCUUCUGCCCUUGGGCCUCCCUGAUUCGGGCACGCUCUCACAGAUUAAUGGAGUGGACGUGACUGAGGCCAGGCAUGACCACGCCGUCUCCCUGCUGACCGCUGCCUCCCCCACCAUCGCCCUGCUGUUGGAGCGGGAGGCUGGGGGCCCUCUUCCUCCCAGCCCUCUGCCACAUUCCUCACCCCCCACCGCUGCUGUUGCCACCACCAGCAUAACCACUGCCACCCCCGGGGUGCCUGGGUUGCCGAGCCUGGCCCCCAGCCUGCUGGCUGCCGCGUUGGAAGGGCCAUACCCAGUGGAGGUGAGACACAAGCCCCCACCCAGGCACCCACCCAGCUUCAGCUGUGGGCACUGGCCU